CAUUCAGCCAUUUUGGAGGUCUAGCCUGUUGAGGCUGCUAGUGAUUUGCUCGUUUACUAAGUGAGGGGGCGGGUUUGCAGUUGGUUUCUGCAAGUGCAGUAAUACACCCUUCUUCUUCUGUUUGCUGGCUUAUUGGUUUUAGUAUGCCCAGUUAGGAAUUCAAAAAAUAAGGGUAAAGUAUUCUUUUCUCUUAUUUUAAAAGUAGAUCAAAACUUUGUAAAAGGAAAUUAAUUAGGCUCAAAAGUAAAUUCAUUUGUGGAGCUUGAUAUGAACUCUUAUGAGCCUUUGCCAUAAAUAUGACUGACAUCGGUUGCGACACUGCGAGCCACGCACCAGACACCCUCAACCACUUUGAGGUGGCGGUGGCGUAGACCCAAGAAACUACAAAGGAUUAGAAAAAGAAACAAGAGUAGCAGAAGUUGUCGUAGUGAGAGAGUGAGCCCACUGUACCGGAGCCCUUUGAACUUUGGUAAUGCUGCAGUAGCCUGAUAUCAACUAGCCCUGCAUCCCUUAGCAUCUCCACCAGCAGGUACGAGACCGAAAGAACCCUAAGUGAAGCUACUUUCCUGUUAGCGCGCAACCCAUUUAAGGCCUUUAAGACACGCAAUUGCCUCCGCUUGCAAAGCCGAGUCCAAAUACCCAAAAAAACUAUCGUAAAGUAACUUCCUUCUUGAACCAAUAUCGGCUGCAUGGUUGCCUGGUCGUGAGAUUGUUUGAACUGCUCCGGAGUGUUCAAGCUUUGUUGUGCUGUUCAGUUAGUGCUGCUGUCUGUUCUGUUCAACGUUGAUCUGUACGAUGUUGUUUUUCUGUUGGUGUUACUGAUCUGCACAUUGGUGUUGUUGAUCUUCAAACUGUUGCUUGACAAGAUUGGCCAUAAUCCACUGUAAUGCUGUUAAGGUGGUAUUAGUUCCUGCAUUGAGGAAUUCAAACAACAAGCUAUCUUUCUCUGGUUGUUGUUACCAUCUGGGAUUUCCACUGUCCACAAGCUAUUAGCAUAACAUAUGACCAACCUGUUGGUGUUGUUGUUCUCA